UUAAAAGAGUAAGUGAAUUAAGGGCGUAUGGGGGAUGCCUAGGCUCUUGGAGGCGAUGAAGGACGUGUUAAGCUGCGAUAAGCUUCGGGGAGGUGCACAAGACCUUCGAUCCGAAGAUUUCCGAAUGGGGCAACCCAGUAGAUUGAAGAUCUAUUAUCCUAUUUAAGAUAGGAGGCGAACCUGCUGAACUGAAACAUCUAAGUAAGCAGAGGAAGAGAAAACAAAAGUGAUUCCGUAAGUAGUGGCGAGCGAACGCGGAUUAGCCCAAACCAGUGUUGUUGCGGCAAGACUGGGGUUGUAGGACCACGCCAUCGAUUAUGUAAAUCAACGAGAACUGUUUGGGAAAGCAGGCCAUAGAAGGUGAGAGCCCUGUAUUGGUAAGUUUAUGUAAUUGUAGUGGUAUCCUGAGUAGGGGGGGACUGGAGAAAUCCCCUUUGAAUCUGCCGGCACCAUCCGGUAAGGCUAAAUACUACCAAGAGACCGAUAGUGAACGAGUACUGUGAAGGAAAGGUGAAAAGUACCCUGAGUAAGGGGGUGAAAAGACCCUGAAACCAUACGCUUACAAGCGGUCGGAGCCCUUUCGUGGGGUGACGGCGUGCCUUUUGCAUAAUGAGCCUACGAGUUACUUUCACUGGCGAGGUUAAUCACGUUGACGUGAGCAGCCGGAGCGAAAGCGAGUCUGAAUAGGGCGCUUAGUCAGUGGGAGUAGACGCGAAACUUUGUGAUCUACCCAUGAGCAGGUUGAAGCUCCGAUAACACGGAGUGGAGGACCGAACCAGUUUACGUUGAAAAGUAUUUGGAUGACUUGUGGGUAGGGGUGAAAGGCCAAUCAAACUGAGAAAUAGCUCGUACUCCCCGAAAUGUUUUUAGGAACAGCCUCGGGGUUAAGUUUUAAGCAGGUAAAGCUACCGAUAGGACUAGGGGGAGUCAAAUCCUACCAAAUCCUGACGAACUCUGAAUGGCUUAAAAUAUACCCGGGAGUGAGGGUUGGGGUGCUAAGGUCCCAAUCCGAGAGGGAAAGAACCCAGACCAACAGCUAAGGUCCCAAAAUCUUUACUAAGUUGAACUAAGGAAGUCUGAUUGCAGUGACAGCCAGGAUGUUAGCUUGGAAGCAGCUAUUCAUUUAAAGAGUGCGUAACAGCUCACUGGUCGAGCGAGGCGGGCAUCGAUAAUAAACGGGCAUCAAGUAAAGUACCGAAGCUUUGGAUUAUAUUUAUAUACUGGUAGGGGAGCAUUCUGAUCUGCGGAGAAGGUGAAGCGACGAGCUUUGCUGGAGCGUUCAGAAAAGCAAAUGUAGGCAUGAGUAACGAUAAUGAGGGCGAGAAACCCUCACGCCGAAAGACUAAGGUUUCCUCAGCUAUGCUAAUCAACUGAGGGUUAGUCGGGGGCUAAGGGUCUAGCGAAGGCGACAACCUAAUGCACAACAGGUUAAUAUUCCUGUACUUACUUAUAGGGCAAAUAGAUGACGGAGAUUACAGGUUACCAGAUACUGACGGAAUAGUGUCUUUGAGAGGCGGCAGCAAUGCCAAAACGAGUGUAGUGAGUAAACUUCCAAGAAAAGUCUAGGCGUGUAUAACUUAUAAGUAACCCGUACCGUAAACCGACACAGGUGGUCGAGAAGAAUAUUCUAAGGCGCUCGAGUGAAUCACGGCUAAGGAACUCGGCAAAUUAACCCUGUAACUUCGGGAUAAAGGGAGCCACGAGCAAUCGUGGCCGCAGAGAAAUGGCCCAGGCGACUGUUUAACAAAAACACAUGGCUUUGCUAAAUCGAAAGAUGACGUAUAAGGCCUGACACCUGCCCGGUGCUGGAAGGUUAAGGGGGGAUGUUAGUGGCAACACGAAGCAUUGAACUGAAGCCCCAGUAAACGGCGGCCGUAACUAUAACGGUCCUAAGGUAGCGAAAUUCCUUGUCGGGUAAGUUCCGACCUGCACGAAUGGUGUAACGAUCUGGGCACUGUCUCAGCCGUGAGCUCGGUGAAAUUGUAGUAACGGUGAAGAUGCCGUUUACCCGCAACGGGACGGAAAGACCCCAUGAACCUUUACUAUAGCUUAGCAUUGAGUUUUGGUACUGGAUGUGUAGGAUAGGUGGGAGGCUGUGAGCCGGUGUCGCUAGGCAUCGGGGAGCCAACGUUGAAAUACCACCCUUCUUGUACUGGAAUUCUAAUCCCCAAAGGGGAGACAUUGCUUGGUGGGUAGUUUGACUGGGGUGGUCGCCUCCAAAAGAGUAACGGAGGCUUUCAAAGGUUCCCUCAGCACGCUUGGUAACCGUGCGUAGAGUGCAAUAGCAAAAGGGAGCUUGACUGUGAGACCGACAAGUCGAUCAGGUACGAAAGUAGGAUAUAGUGAUCCGGUGGUUUAGUAUGGAACAGCCAUCGCUCAAAAAAGGAUAAAAGGUACUCUGGGGAUAACAGGCUGAUCUCCCCCAAGAGCUCACAUCGACGGGGAGGUUUGGCACCUCGAUGUCGGCUCGUCACAUCCUGGGGCUGGAGAAGGUCCCAAGGGUUCGGCUGUUCGCCGAUUAAAGUGGCACGCGAGCUGGGUUCAGAACGUCGUGAGACAGUUCGGUCCCUAUCUGUUGUGGGCGUAGGAAUAUUGACAGGUUCUGACUUUAGUACGAGAGGACCGAGUUGGACUGACCGCUGGUAUAUCAGUUGUUCUGCCAAGGGCAUAGCUGAGUAGCCACGUCGGGACCAGAUAAGCGCUGAAAGCAUCUAAGUGCGAAACUGACCUGAAGAUGAGUAUUCCAUGAAGGGUCCGUGUAGACGACACGGUCGAUAGGCUACAGAUGUAAAGACAGUAAUGUCAAAGUCGAGUAGUACUAAUUACCCGAAAGCUUACCUUUU
rnacentral:rRNA from 1 species